GUUGAUAAGAAAGUGGAGAGUAGAGGUUGUGCUUUGAAUUGUCAACCCUGGGUUAAGGCCGCUGAUAACGCCUGUUGGCGGCAAAAGCACGAUGAUGAUUGUGCGAAAUCUGCUUUUGCUGAUAGUCACCAACGCAAUGCCAAGCGCCGCGGUUACCUUAAAUAACAGUUAUCUGUCGGGUAAUAUUCUAUAUCCAUCCUACACAAUCAAAGCAUCUUUUAAUUACGAAGCGUGUGCGUAAAGCUGUGCGGGCCGUUGCGGGGAUCGUCCUUUCCCGCAGCAAUGAAAGCGUUAGGAACGGGUAGAAGGCGCACUCUGUCAUGUUAUCGCGGUACUAUUAACCAUUUUUUGUGUUUGUUGUGUAGGAGAGGGAAGUUACUGGUUAUCUUUGGGUUAUUAAUGGAUAUAUACUGCCUCGGGCUUCUUAACUGAUCAGACUUUGAGUUAUCUUUCGCGUCUUUUCUUGUCUGAGUGAAGGAAUAACAGGAAAUACGACAAGGGAUUUUCCUAUAAAGUAUACACACGUUUUUCUCUCGGCGAUAGUAACAGCGGCUCUGCGGUACAUAAAGCUUCUGGUUAGCCAACUUCAGCUCAAAAACGCUUGAAAGAGACCAAGUCAAGAAUACUUCUCUGAGAUAAGGCAGAAAUCGGUAGAAACGAAAGGAAAUGUUUUUUAAACAAACUCGGCUGUUUGCCCUGCUUGUGGUGGUGGUGGCUCUUUUGAUGGCUAAUCAGAGCUAUGGCCAAUCUAAACCUCGGGUGAAGAUUGGCUCGUGGUCACAGGUCACUAAGUCCCAUCGCAUCAAUAACAAGCAAGGAGUGUAUUCUGGCCUGAAGUGCUGCGUCAUGCGCUCGUACCCAUGCCUCCGCGACGUGGACUGCUGCACUGGGAACUGUCAGCACACGGACAAAAUAGGAUUUAAACGCUGUUCGUGAAGUAAGAUGGCAGUUUGCUGCGCAAGUCGCCACAGGGAUACCGAGAAGAGUUCGGGAUUGAGCCGCCAAUCACUGACGUCUUUUAGAAACAAAGCUGCCGUCGCGAGUUAUUGUUUUUGUUGCAAGCGCGUUAUCGCUAGGCUGUAUAACCCACGAACGUGGGAGGGAGGACCCAGACAGUUGAAGGAUUUGAAUACAUGAUGUAAAGACAUAGAUGAUAAAUAAAACCGAAAAUAACAAACAA